rnacentral:lncRNA from 1 species
AACUGGGCCUGCUUCUGUUCGCAGGUGAGCAUGGCCGAGAAGGGGCCCCCAGCCUAUCCAGGGUCCCCGUUCCUGGGAGGCCCCAUGACGCACCCCAUGGACUGUGGGCCUCCGCCACCACCAACAUUCAGGCCUUGGCCAAUGCCUCCGCCGCCACCACUGACAUUCCGUACGCCUCCACUGGCUCAUUCCUUGCUGUGAGAGCUGUUGGAACUCUGGCUCCCUGGACUGGAGGUGCCAAGGCUUGCAGGCUGCGUCACUCCGGAGGAAGCCCGUGACCCCUGACCCACGGGUGACUUCUGGGCUCCAAGAGUGAGAGUUUACAAUACAAAUAACAAUUGUUUGACAUCAGGCUCUAUUAUUUUUCUUUUAC